CAAAGAGAUCGGAUGUUGCUCAGCUGUAAUAUAAUAUUUAAUUGACCUUGUCGAAACGGAGAUUCUCAAGCUAUUCUAGCUUUCCCAAGCUUCCGCACAUUCACCGCGUCGCCGACGAGGGGCAUUAUUUAUAUUCAAUAUUUUACGCAAAAAAGUAUACCAAACAAGAAACGAGGCAUGGCAAAUAUAUCAUCUUGAAGAGACAAUUGAAAACUUCGGCAUGCUCUUGUCGAAAAAAAUAUACCAAAAUGAUGAGGACAGUGAUCCACAAAGUUGAGUUACCCUCUGCAUGCGGUAGUGGUGAUGAUCUAGGCGCAGAAAUAUUUAUUGCAACACUUUUGGGAUACUUGAAAGAUUUAUAACCGCCUCGAUAAAUUGUCUUAAAAUAGCCCACAAAUGCUAAUGUUUAGUCUCGUUUCCGCCUCUGCAUUUGACUGAAAUAAAUGUUUUUAGCAAUUAUA